rnacentral:rRNA from 1 species
CGGACGGGUGAGUAACGCGUGAGAAUCUGGCUUCAGGUCUGGGACAACCACUGGAAACGGUGGCUAAUACCGGAUGUGCCGAAAGGUGAAAGGUUAACUGCCUGAAGAUGAGCUCGCGUCUGAUUAGCUAGUUGGAAGUGUAAUGGACUCCCAAGGCGACGAUCAGUAGCUGGUCUGAGAGGACGAUCAGCCACACUGGGACUGAGACACGGCCCAGACUCCUACGGGAGGCAGCAGUGGGGAAUUUUCCGCAAUGGGCGAAAGCCUGACGGAGCAAUACCGCGUGAGGGAGGAAGGCUCUUGGGUCGUAAACCUCUUUUCUCAGGGAAGAACACAAUGACGGUACCUGAGGAAUAAGCAUCGGCUAACUCCGUGCCAGCAGCCGCGGUAAUACGGAGGAUGCAAGCGUUAUCCGGAAUGAUUGGGCGUAAAGCGUCCGCAGGUGGCAAUGUAAGUCUGCUGUUAAAGAGUCUAGCUCAACUAGAUAAGAGCAGUGGAAACUACAUAGCUAGAGUACGUUCGGGGCAGAGGGAAUUCCUGGUGUAGCGGUGAAAUGCGUAGAGAUCAGGAAGAACACCAGUGGCGAAGGCGCUCUGCUAGGCCGUAACUGACACUGAGAGACGAAAGCUAGGGGAGCGAAUGGGAUUAGAUACCCCAGUAGUC